rnacentral:sRNA from 2 species
AGAAAACUGCCUGGUGGAGCCUGGUUUAGUGCAGGAUUGCCACGUUCUGACCCUGGAGCAUCGUGUGCGGCUCUGCCCAGUCACAGCCCGCAGCGAGGUUGCUGCUGAUGCGCUGGCUGCGACGGACUGCCGAUGGCUCCACGACGAGGACGACAAUGACAAGCUCCAACGACGACAUACUUCUUCUUCGUCGUCGUCCGCUCCACAUUUAACUCGUCUCGUGAUGAGAAAAUCUUCAUUCGACUAGCUUAGCGCAUCAGAAUCUCGCCAGAAUAUCGCCGACCCCACAUCGACUCCCACGCUACGGAGGAGAUAGAAUGGAAAUGAAAAAAAGAAGAGAGUGAAAAAAAGGAACAGAAACUUGGUGGAAGUUCGCCGCCUUGGGUUAAUUGAGCCCCGAGUCCCUGGCUGGCUCCGGGUUUCAACCACUAAUACUUGAUUUUUGCAGAACAUCGCCAUGAUUUGCUGGGAAAUUUUUCAUCAAAAUCACAUCCUUGCGACGGACACAAGUCAUCCAGGGUCUAACCACGAGCAGCCAACGCCUGAAGUUUGAGGCCACGCCGUCUCGGACUAGCGGCCGCCUAGACACCGCCAGCGUGCAGCCAGGCUAAACUAGCUAUCUGU